rnacentral:rRNA from 1 species
CCAAUAGCGUAUAUUAAAGUUGCUGCAGUUAAAAAGCUCGUAGUUGAAUUUCGGGACCAUCAUGUCGGUCGUGCCUCGGUACGUACUGGCAUUGUUGGUUUCUCCCUUCUGACGAACCAUGAUGUCAUUUAUUUGGUGUUGUGGGGAAUCAGGACUGUUACUUUGAAAAAAUUAGAGUGUUUAAAGCAGGCUCACGCUUGAAUACAUUAGCAUGGAAUAAUGAAAUAGGACGUUUGAUUCUAUUUUGUUGGUUUCUAGGAUCGACGUAAUGAUUAAUAGGGAUAGUUGGGGGCAUUAGUAUUCAAUUGUCAGAGGUGAAAUUCUUGGAUUUAUUGAAGACUAACUACUGCGAAAGCAUUUGCCAAGGAUGUUUUCAUUAAUCAAGAACGAAAGUUAGGGGAUCGAAGACGAUCAGAUACCGUCGUAGUCUUAACCAUAAACUAUGCCGACUAGGGAUCGGAUGAUGUUAAUUUUAUAAUGACUCAUUCGGCGCCUUACG